GCCUGGCUAGCUUAGUCGGUAGAGCAUAUGACUCUUGAUCUCAUGGUGUGAGUGCAAGCCCCACGUUGAGCA
rnacentral:tRNA from 1 species